AGAUAAAGGUUUUGUCACACAGGGCAGUGGGAUGCUUCAUGAGUCAUUGUGGUUGGAAUUCAACAAUUGAAGCAUUGAGCUUGGGUGUGCCAAUGGUGACCAUGCCAGUGUGGGUUGAUCAACCUACAAAUUCUAAGUAUAUUGUGGAUGUAUGGAAGGUAGGAUUGCGAGUUAAGGCGAGCGAGGAAAGGGAAAUGGUAACAAGAGAAGAAGUAGAAGGAACUAUAAGAGAAGUUAUGCAUGGGGAGAAGGCAAGUGAGCUUAGAAACAAUGCUUUGAGGUGGAAGGAGUUGGCUAAGGAGGCAAUUAGUGAAGGAGGAAGCUCAGACAAACACAUUGAAGAAUUUGUUUCGAGUCUUGAAAGCACUUAGUUAAAUUAAUAUCCAAUUUUCUUCACACAGUUUUCAAAUUUUAAUGAUCUGUUGUUAAUUUGAAAUUGCAAAUAACAGUCAACGUAUGCAUAGAUUAUCCUAAUUGACACUUCAAUUAGUAUUAACCUAUCGAUUGAAGUACUAAUGUAACUUUAAUUUAGAACUUCAAAUUCUUGGGACCUAAACCUUGAGUUGACACAUAAUUUACAAUCUCAGAAGCAAUAGUUGUAUGUGAGGCAAUUUUCUUAUUUCAAUAGUUAAGUGCAUGAGUUGGUGUGUGUGGAUCGAAAUUACUAUUUGAAUAGACAAGUCUCUAUAUUCAUAUGUUAUGUUAUUUUCUUAUUGAAUUUAGUUGAACUCGUGAAACAUAAGUCUUCAGAAGUAAUAACAAAACCAAGCUCCACUCCAGAAGCUUCGACCACAAUUGCUAAAACUCAAAACCUGCAGAAGGUGCUCAACCACCAACCAAGAAGCACCGUACCUAGAGACUGCUACCUUAGCUAUUUACCUACUUACAUUUUAGGACUACGACUUUAUUUAUCUAUCUAUGUGAAUAAUAUGAGGUUGAAUAGUAAAAUUAUGCAGCAUCAACCUUCAAUUUGAACUACAACUAUGUCUAUUAUCCCUUCACUAUGGUUGCAUAAGCUUUGAUAAUUCUCUCAACUGAUUAUCUACUAUAAUAGUAUGCAAUAUUUUAUAUACACAUGGUAUGACAUUUUUGGCUACCAUUAAUAGUAUGCCUUGCCCAAUUGUCCAACAUUACCAAAUUAUUUAACAACAUCACAGGUAUAAAUUGCCAUUCUUUGCAUGGGUCUUCUCCCUAGUAAUUAGAAUAAUAAAAACCAAGAUCACAAUAAUGUUUGUACUUACAUUCCAAAGUACCAAGACUCAUGGUACUUUUUAUAUAGUAAUGAUAAUGUUAAUGGUAAUACUAAUCUUCGUUUGUGACAUUAAGCAUUACAAAGUUGAUCAUGAUUAUAGUUAAUUGUAGGACUUUAAAAAUUAGAGUUUGGUCUGGGGGCUAAUCAGCCUAAUCAAUGAUUUUAGUUAGGCCAAUAGAUAAUGGAGAUGCAAGUCACUUUCCUGAGUAGGUUGAAAUGCGCCUAAUCAAAGAAUUUUCCAUGUGUACAAACUCAUAGUACGCGCCAAAAUAUAAAAAAAGUUAACAAGCUUGUCGGUUUUGUACAUGUAUUCGCAACAUACUGAAGCAUCUGACUUAAUUUGUCUAGAUUCCCGACUCUUGGCAUUGUUACUCGUGAAACAGCACUUUGGCCAAAACCAUGGUCACGUCAACGGGUGGAAAGUUCCCUUUUCUGCCCACAGUAGGCAGAAGCAAAUGCGGAGGCCAACUGUGUUCUCCGGGGUUGGCACCAGAGAGAGUCAGGUUGUGCGUGGAUAAAAUAAUGCAAUACAUUUUAAAAUUACAAUAAAAACUUUUUAAAAAUUUGUUCAUCAUCUAAUGCCAAAGCAAAUAUUGUGGUAGGUUUUCGUUUUUAAUUGAGUUUGAUAUUUAAAAUAAUUGAAUCAUAAAUAUAAAAGGAAGAGUUGGAAACUUAGACAUGAUUAAAAUAAAAGGAGAUGUGGAAUUUUGGUCUAGGGGUGAGCAAUUACGGUAAAUACCGAUUUACCGACCGAAAUCGAUUUCAAUUUGGUAAUUCGGUAAUUCGGUCGGUAAAUCGGGGAUAUAGUACUAGUUAAAAUCGAAUUAGGUUCGAAAACGGUUUUAUAGUUUUUGAAUUCGGAUAUACCGAAUUCGAAUUAAUUUCGGAAUUCGAGAAAGGUGGGAUUAAGGUGAAUGGGAAGAUGCAAUCGAGCAACACUUCAGUCUAUGCAGUUGGGGAUGUUGCCGCUUUUCCAGUAAAAAUGUUUGCUGAAACACGCAGACUUGAGCAUGUAGAUUCUGCGAGGAAGUCAGCAAGGCAUGCUGUUGCUGCUAUCAUGGAGCCAGAAAAGACGGGUGAAUUCGACUACCUGCCAUUCUUCUACUCCCGCGUCUUCACAUUGUCUUGGCAGUUUUAUGGAGACAACGCAGGGGAAGUAAUUCAUUUUGGGGAUUUCUCGGGAAAGACUUUUGGGGCUUAUUGGAUUAAUAAGGGUCAUCUUGUUGGUUCUUUUCUGGAGGGUGGAACCAAAGAGCAGUACGAAGCUAUAGCCAAGGCCACGAGGCUUAAACCGGCAAUUGAAGACCUGGGUGAGCUUGAGAGGCAGGGACUGGGAUUUGCUUUGACAGCAAGCCAGAAACCAUCAUCAUCAUCACCUCCUCUUGUUGCUGGCAGUUCUAAUCUCGUCAUCGAGAAACCAUUACACGCUUGGUACGCAACUGCGGGUGUGAUUGUGGCUGCAUCAGUAGCAACCUUUGCAUACUGGUAUGGCAGGAGGCGACGAAGCAAAACAGGCUGCGAUUGCUUCAGGAAUUCGGACAAUUCGGUCAAUUUGUGUUUACCGAAUUCAAUCCGAAUUGAAUUCGAAUUCGAAAUUUGGUAAUUCGAAUACGAAUUAGGUCGAAAUAUCUCAACACCAUUUACCGAAAAUUACCGAUUUCAACCUACCGAAUUACCGAAUUCGAAUUCGAUGCUCACCCCUAUUUUGGUCCCCCAAUAUUUGGUCUAUGAGUUAAACUAGUCCCUGAUAUUUCGACCAAAAUAAAUAUGGUCCCAAAAGUUUUGACAACUAAUAGAAAAUUAGAAUAUCUAAUGGUCAAAAUCAAAUUAGAAUUAGUCAAAAGUUUUGAUUUUGUAGUUUUUGGUCCCUAAUAUUUGAAAAUUUAUUCAAUAUGGUCCCUUAUGUUUUAGAUAAUUAUAUUUCAAAUGAAAUAAAAUGUGACUUAGAUUAAAUGCAUGAAAAAAUGUGUUCUCAAAUCUCAUAAAAACCCUUAAAUUACUUCACAUUGUGAAUAUACUAUCAUUUAGCCUAAAGAGCAUCUGUUCGUUAAAUUAAUUACAAACAAAUGACAACACAUGAAUCAUAUAUAAAAGAAAAAUUAGUGGAAAAAAGAGAAUUUUAAUUUGAGGAUAUAGUAACUUUAAUUCUAAACAAUAUAACUCAAAUUGUUACAUGACUUGUGGAUCUAAGUUUCAAUCAAUUAUGGUUAGGCAUUGUGAUUUCAUUAACAAGUAAAGGUGAUUACUAAUAUGAAUGACUCAUGUGAAUUGUAAAAAUAUUUCUUGCUGUUUCUUCUUGUCUUUCCUUCAUAUUAAAUCAAAUAUUUCAAUAACACAAUUCAAUGUAUUAUAUUUACAUUCAUCUGACAUUGAUAAUUUUAUUGAAUAAUUUAAACAAUUAUAAAAUCUUUAUUUCAAUUGAAACUUAAUUGACAACUAGUUGAAAUGCCAAAAAAAAAAAGAAAACGAAAAAUAUUAUUCAAUCAACUCAACACCUAUAGUUGUUGAUAUUAUAAUAGGAUAUGUAAUUAACUGUUUUCAUUUAUCAAAUAUAAGUAUUGGGCAUUAGAUGAUGAACAAAUUUUUGAGAGGGCGUUUGUUGUGAUUUCAAAAUGUAUUGCAUUAUUUCAUCCACGCACAACCAGCUUUCUCCUAUACCUGAUGCAUCUUUUUGCUGUCCGUCUUUGUGCAUCCCCACAGAACACACAGUUGGCCUCCUUGCAUUGCCUUUUCUCAAAAAUCAUUAAAAAUGUUUUUGGCCAGGCAUUAUAAUAUCGAUCCGAGAAAUUGAAGGCAAAGACACUUUUUGGAACUCCAACCUCAAUUUCUUUAUAAAACCCAAGCAGGAACAGAACAGGGAACACAUGGAUGAAAUUGGAUGUAGAAUUCAUGUUCUGGCCAUCCCAUCCCCACUCCAAGGCCACCUCAAUCCGAUGCUGCAAUUAUGCAAGCGUUUAACCUCGAAGGGUGUUAGAAUCACGCUAGUCACAAGCACCUCAGCACGUUUAUCGGUGCAAAAUCAGUUUGAAUCGAUCCAGAUCGAGUAUAUUCUAGACGAUGAUAACAUUGAAGCUGAGGGGUCAAAAUAUUCAGAGAAAACUACUGCCUUCUUGAAACGUUUUAAUACCGCAGUUUCAGACAAUUUGGCCAAGCUAGUCAAGGAAAAGGCGAGUUCUGGUCAUCCCGUGAAAACAGUUCUGUAUGAUUCAAUGAUGCCAUGGAUUUUGGAGAUAGUGCAGGGACAGCUAGGCCUUAAAGGGGCUGCGUUUUUCACUCAGGCUUGCGCUGUUUGCGCAAUAUUCAAUCAUAUUCAUCGAGGAACGUUGAAAGUUCCUCUAGAGACAUCUACCAUAUUGCUUCCUUCAAUGCCACAACUGGAGUCGGAUGAUCUGCCGUCUUUUGUUUAUAACCCUAGUCCAUACCCGGGUCAUUUGGAUGUUGUCCUCAGUCAGAAUAUAAACCUCGAGAAAUCAGAUUGGCUCUUGUUCAAUUCUUUUGACAAGCUAGAAAAUGAGGUAGAUUUCUCAUUCCAUAAAUAAUUGGAAUUUGGAAGUUCACCCAUUAGCAACAUUUUAUUUGACGCUGUUUAAAUUAAAUUACAUAUUGGCAAUACUUUUUGAAUCAUUGUUAGUGUCAGUUAAGUUCAUCCUUGGAAUUUGAUCAUUGGUAGACCAUAAGAUCUGUUUAUUUUGUUCAUAGCAAAAAUCACAUUGUACAAUUUCUAGUUAGUUAUUGCUAAUAAAAAAUAAAGUUAAUAAUUAAGAAACAAACGGCUUAUGUCAACUGUUUCGAAAAUCAGACCGGACCAAACCGGCUGUUUGAAUGGCUAAACUGCGAACCGAUAUUGGCACUGGUUAGGUUUUUUAUUAAACUAGAACAGGUAAGUGAACUGGUCAAUUCGGAUCAAGAAAUGGUUAAACCAGUCAAAACCAGAUGGUUGAACUAGUUUCCUCCUUUUUUUAAUUUUAUAUAUUUUGACGUUAUCCAAAUUACUUAGUACUAAAAUAAUUAAAAAAUAAUUAGAUGUUUAACCCAGGAUUGAUCAGGGUCCUCAUUCGGAUCACUCACAGAUCCGAGCUUAAAAGCAUAGCUCAUAUUAGGUAAGUCUACAUGUUAAUCUUUCAUACAUUUCAAUACAAUUGGCAUAGAUAAUCUUUUCAUAAAUUCAUGCUUCAAUUUUCUUAAUUGUCUUUUGGGGUCGGGACCUGAUUGAAUUUUGCUGUUUGGGAAAUAUUACAAUCUUUUUGCUUAAUCUCAACUAGGUAGUGACCUGGUUGACAGAACGGUAUCCAAUCAAGACCAUAGGCCCUUGUACUCCAUCCAUGUACACUGACAAGCGAUUGAAAGAUGACAAAGAUUACACCAUCAAUUUCUUCGCACCAGAUUCAGAAGCUUGCCUAAAAUGGCUUGACACCAAGGAAACAGGCUCAGUUGUUUAUGUAUCCUUCGGUAGUGUCUCAGACCUUGGAGAAAAUCAAAUGCAGGAAAUAGCAUGCGGCCUGAUGAAUAGCAACUGCAACUUCUUAUGGGUAGUUCGACCUUCUGAAGAGAGCAAAAUUCCUAGAGGUUUCAUGUCCGAGGCACAAGAAAGAGGUCUAAUCGUGAAUUGGUGCCCUCAAAUAAAGGUUUUGUCGCACAGGGCGGUGGGAUGCUUCAUGAGUCAUUGUGGUUGGAAUUCAACAAUUGAAGCAUUGAGCUUGGGUGUGCCAAUGGUGACCAUGCCAGUGUGGGUUGAUCAACCUACAAAUUCUAAGUAUAUUGUGGAUGUAUGGAAGGUAGGAUUGCGAGUUAAGGCGAGUGAGGAAAGGGAAAUGGUAACAAGAGAAGAAGUAGAAGGAACUAUAAGAGAAGUUAUGCAUGGGG
rnacentral:lncRNA from 1 species